AUGUGUUCCACUGACUGCUUUCAUCGGAUACGCUAUUGUCUACGAGAACAAACGCUCCAACCCGGUAAGCGGCUCCUGCUGAAACAAGGAGACACUUCUUUCCAGGGAACAAUCUCUGAUGUGUCAAUGGGGUUAGACUUAUUUAUUGAUAUGUUUAUUCCACUAGCAUUUAUUGGAUGCCUACUAUGUGCCAGCCAUUGUCCUAGGAUGUACUGCAGACCGAGCAAAGCAAACAGACAAGGACCGCUGCCCUGGCGGAGCCUGCCUUCCGGCACUGAGGGACGGGCUGUAAACCACUUCCUGCCUGGGCACUGACUGGUACGCUAGGCUCUCCAACCCCUUAGCCUCUGCUGUGUGAUGGGAAACCCAUACUGCUCAGAGGAGGAACUCCACAGCUCACCAACUCUUGGAUUUAAAACAGAAUUUUAAUUAUAUACUAGUUCUAUAUGGCUGCAGAUAGCGUGUCCCAAAACUUCAUAGCUUAAGGCAACAAAGCUUUAUUACCUUGCACGGUUUCUGAGGGGCAGGAGUUGGGAGUGGCUUGGUUGGGUGGUACAGGCUCAGGGUCUCUGACCUCAAGGUUUGAGUACACUGGAGAACUGGCUUCCAGACUCACUCGCGUGGUGCUGGUGGGCCUCUGUUCCUCACUAGCCAUUGGCCAAAGGUCUUAAAUUCUGUGACACAUGGGCCUCUCUAUGGGGCUGCUCACAACACGGCAGCUCGCUUCCCCCAGAGUGAGGCAGAGAGAGAAUAUUCAAGACAAAAGGUGCAGUCUUUUAUAACCUAAUCUCAGAAGGUGGUCACACAAACCAACGCUGGUACAAUGGGAGGGGACCACAAGGGCGUGGGGUGUGAAGCCCAGGAGAUGGGGAUUGCUGGGGCCAUCUUGAAGGGUGGCUACACAAAGUCUUUGGGUUGUGGGGUGGGGUGGGAUCAGAGCCGGCCUGGAUGUCCUGAUUCCCUUGCUGCUGAUGAAAAUCAAAAGACCCCAUAAUCUGAGCAGGAGCUGUAAUCCCUGGGUCCUACAAGUACGG
rnacentral:lncRNA from 1 species